rnacentral:rRNA from 1 species
CCCUUAGAUGUUCUGGGCUGCACGCGCGCUACACUGAUGUGUUCAUCGGGUUCGACCUUGCCCGGGAGGGUUGGGUAAUCCUUUCAAAACACAUCGUGAUGGGGAUAGAUUAUUGCAAUUAUUAAUCUUCAACGAGGAAUUCCUAGUAAUGAUGGUUCAUCAGACCGUCGUGAUUACGUCCCUGCCCUUUGUACACACCGCCCGUCGCUCCUACCGAUUGAACGAUCCGGUGAGUUGUUUGGAGUAGUGAUGAUCGGGGCAACCUGAUUCUUCGCCGCAAAAUUCCGCUAACCUUAUCGUUUAGAGGAAGGAGAAGUCGUAACA